rnacentral:misc_RNA from 1 species
AAAGUCGUAACAAGGUCUCCGUUGGUGAACCAGCGGAGGGAUCAUUACUGAGUUACACUCUCAACCCUUGCGAACUUUGUUUCUGUUGCUUCGGCAGGUUAACCCUGGGAGGGUUCGUGACCAAUCUGCCAGAGGCUUGCAACUCUGAAUUUCAAUGGCUUUCUGAAGACAUUUUUAAAAAAGUAAAAACUUUCAGCAACGGAUCUCUUGGUUCUG